UACAGAGGCCUCAAGCGUUGUUCGGAAUCACUGGGCGUUAAGGGUGCGUAGGCUGCGCGGAAAGUCAGGGGUGAAAUCCCGGAGCUCAACUCCGGAACUGCCUUUGAUACUCCCGCGCUUGAGAACUGGAGGGGAGAUCGGAAUUCACGGUGGAGCAGUGAAAUGCGUGGAUAUCGUGAGGAACACUAGUGGCGAAGGCGGUUCUCUGGGCCUGUACUGACGCUGAGGAGCGAAAGCGUGGGGAGCGAACAGG
rnacentral:rRNA from 1 species